AAGAUGGUGGGAUCGGUUAGCCUCCUAUGAUACGCGACCAUCUUCAAUGAUAUGUGACCACUUUCAAGGAUAUGAGGCAGGUCUUAAUUAAGUCAGGGGUGUCAAAUCUUUUGUGGGAUAAAAUAUUGUCUGCCAUGAAAUCAUGUUCACCAAACUCAAUGUGAACAUAUUUUGGGUGCGAACGUGUAGGUUGCAAAAAUGAAAGGGGAACGAAUGAGAAUGGGCGCAAACAUGUUUUUGGGCGAACACCAC
rnacentral:lncRNA from 1 species